CAGAGACUUAGUGUCAGAAGGAGAAGUCAGAAGUAGGAUAUUUAUAGGCCCCUAGGGUCUGGGCUAGAGUGGUUUAAGAUGGGUCAUUCAGUGAGGGAAACUGAUAGGGACUGGGCUGGUUUGUAAUAUAGUUUAGGUUUGGUGGAUACAGCAAAGCAAGGAUCUUGAAGUGACUCUUGAUAAGUAAACUGUUGUUGGAUGAACAAGUUAUUUAUUCAGUCUUAGAUCCUUCAAUAAAUACCAAGCACUUACCACCUGGAUGGUGCACAAUGUUUGGAUAUUAUGAAUGAAACUGCCACGAACUUUUGUGAACAAGUCUUUGUGUGAACACAAGCAUUUAUCUGUCUUGGAAAAAAACCUGGAAUGGAAUGACUAGGUCAUAUGCUAUCUAGAACUGGGUUCUGAAGCAAUGGGAUUUCUGUGAUAAGAAGAAAAAAAUUGUUAAAAUAUUUUUGGAGUGAAAGAUGGAAUAUGGGAAUAUGACCGUGUUAUCUCUCACUAAGGAAUAUCAAGGGGUGUGUGUGGUAUAUUUUGUUUUCAUUCUCAUCUCAGAACCAUGUCCUCCAAUCCCAUCUCAGGAGGUUACUGCAAUCCUUGCCACACGUUAGAGUUCCUGGAUGACAACACAUGUCUGCUACCUGCCUGGCUGCUGGAACUCAUUUGAGUUUGUACCUUCUCAUUUACAUAUUUCCAUUAAGUGCAACAUACUUUUUGUAUUAUUUCAG
rnacentral:lncRNA from 1 species